GGGCACAGAAGGAAGGAAGGAGCUGACACAGGGAGAAUGGGUCAGACUGGGAAACGUACGCGGGUUGGUUAUGGGCUGCGGGAAGGAGGUGCUGGGGUCAUGAGGCAGCCUUUGCUCUGUCACACACAGCCGCACACAGCCACACGGGAGGCGACAUAUCAGACCAGGAUUGGCAACUAUGCGCCCCACCUCCUCGCCACAGUCCAACACUCCUUUCCCAACCUAAAGGAGGCGCGCCUCAUACCUGCUAGUCGGACACCUACUCACUGGGCCGCUGGCUUCCCUGCUGGAGAAAUUCACCUGACUUGACAGCCGCAGGGUCUGCCAGAUGCACCGUUUCCAAUCUACAAGCAUGGGAAUGGCCCGCAGGCAGGAAAGUGUUCAAUUGGCCUGGCUGGGACAUUUUGCUAAUUGCCGUUGAUUCUAAGGACCAAAGGAGUCAAAACUUUUGUUUUAAAUAAUGCCAUAUGAUUUCUUGUCUUGAUAUAGUAACAUACCAAGUCAGUGUAUUUACUGGGGAAACAAAUCCAACUUUAUCUUAAAACUUGACAACUAACCCAAAAUUUUUUGGCAUCCACUCAUUCAUACACGAGAUUGGGGGUUGAACAGAAGGCAUGGUGUGAUUGAAAAGGGCCAUUCUUUAACCAGUCUGCCAUAAACCACCCCUUAUAUAUUACCAGCAGCAUGCAGGACAGUCAGGUUGUGUUAAAUGAUCUUUCAAGUAGUUUCAUAUUUUAAUAUCAUUUCAGUUUUACAUGCAACAAACCUCACUGUAUAUCUGGUACAUUUUCUUCUGAUUUGGUAGGAUAUGCUUGGAUAAAAAUACAGAUGUUCAGCUAG